UUAGAGUGGGGAACACAUAGGAUGAUAAUGGAUUUGUGGUUGGUGGAUUGAAGUGGAACCAAUGUGUUGUAAACAUAGCCUUAAAUGUAUUGUAAACAAUUCUUUCUCUUAAAAGAGACAGAUUUGGUUUGUUUUUCAGUUAAAGAAAGUGCAUCACGUGAAUAUAUGUGGAUGUUUCUUAAUUUAAAGAAGCACUCUAACAAGGCACCAUUCAUAUCUUUCUUUCUCUUUGUUCUACUUCUACAACUCAGAAAAAUAGAGGAAAAAGAUGGAACCACCUUCAACUCAACAAAUUCAGAAUUUUCAGAUAGAAGAUGAACAAGACAAGGUCAUCAAUGAAAGGUACUCAUCUUAAACUUGUUUUCUUUCUAUACAUCUGUCUUUAUAAGUUUUGUACUUAAUUUUAAUCUCUUAAUUAGUUAAUAAUGUUUGGUAUUAUUGAUGCAGUUGUUCCUGCUUUUACAAUUGCUUAGAGGACUUCUUUGAUUACUUGUGUUGCAACGUUAGUUGUUGUGAUGAUUGAUAUUCUUGCUACCAUCUUGAUCAGUACUGCGAUUGUGUUGCCAGAAGAAGAUAUUAUGAGAGUACUUGGUUGAAAUUUUCGUUUUCUUCAAUCUAAAACACACUUAUUUAUGUUAAUUUAUAGAUAUUUGAAUCUCUUUCUUAGUCAUAUGUGUGUUUCUAUUUGACUUACUGGUGUUCUCUGCUAUUGAUUUUGAUAUGGUUUAAGGCCUUCUGAUCAUAUCCUCACCAUACAACAUGAUUAGACCCAAGGCCAUUCAACUUCCUUAUAGCGCAGCAUGAUCUUUGUAAGAGCUACAUCCAAACAUUGAGCUCACUCAGUCACUUGUAGAGUAAAUUAUUGACACAUGUGAACUGCUCACAUGGACAAUCCAAGAUCCGGACCACUUACCUGACGCAUGCCUUUUCGUCGCCAUUCGGAUGAAUCCCUUACUAUCUGCCAGAACUUGCAUUAUAUACCUUUUCCUAAGAUGAGAUGAAAAUGUCACAUUGCCACUAUAGUAGUCUUCCAAAUUAAUAUAUUCAGGUUAGUUUCUUGGUGUAUUUGAAGCACUUCUGCAGAUCGUUCAGUAGAUAUGCAGAGUUUCUUACUAGACCAACUGUUACAACAAAAUCUACAAACAAUUCCAUAACCAGUCCUAAUACGCGAAGAAUGCGGCUGCAAAUAGUCACAACCGGCCUUUACAUCUUCAUUGUGGAAAAUCAUCCAUUGGUCCAUCUGUCAGCUCUUGGUGGCCUUUGUUGAUUCCAAAAACUCAAAAAUAUUGUUUCAAGUUACCAUUGGGCUGCUUAAACUCUGCUUAUGGAUAGUCCGAACUCAGAAACAAUGCUGCAUGCAACAUUAGAGGUAUCAAUGUCAUGGGGCUAACUGGGUUAGCAUAUAGAAAACACCUUAAGUAGUUACUUACAGCACCCCCUUUUUGGAGAAAUGUAGAUUUAGUCUUCCUUGUAUUAUACAUGUAUAAAUGAGUAUUAUUGACAAUGUAAUCUAGAACUGAG
rnacentral:lncRNA from 1 species